rnacentral:rRNA from 1 species
UACGAAGGGGGCUAGCGUUGUUCGGAAUUACUGGGCGUAAAGGGCGCGUAGGCGGUUGUCCAAGUCAGGUGUGAAAGCCCGGGGCUCAACUCCGGAGGUGCACUUGAGACUGGGCGGCUUGGGUUCGGGAGAGGAUGGUGGAAUUCCCAGUGUAGAGGUGAAAUUCGUAGAUAUUGGGAAGAACACCGGUGGCGAAGGCGGCCAUCUGGACCGAUACCGACGCUGAGGCGCGAAAGCGUGGGGAGCAAACAGG